rnacentral:rRNA from 1 species
UGAACGCUGGCGGCGUGCCUACUACAUGCAAGUCGAGCGAACGGACGAGAAGCUUGCUUCUCUGCUGUUAGCGGCGGACGGGUGAGUAACACGUGGAUAACCUACCUAUAAGACUGGGAUAACUUCGGGAAACCGGAGCUAAUACCGGAUAAUAUUUUGAACCGCAUGGUUCAAAAGUGAAAGACGGUCUUGCUGUCACUUAUAGAUGGAUCCGCGCUGCAUUAGCUAGUUGGUAAGGUAACGGCUUACCAAGGCAACGAUGCAUAGCCGACCUGAGAGGGUGAUCGGCCACACUGGAACUGAGACACGGUCCAGACUCCUACGGGAGGCAGCAGUAGGGAAUCUUCCGCAAUGGGCGAAAGCCUGACGGAGCAACGCCGCGUGAGUGAUGAAGGUCUUCGGAUCGUAAAACUCUGUUAUUAGGGAAGAACAUAUGUGUAAGUAACUGUGCACAUCUUGACGGUACCUAAUCAGAAAGCCACGGCUAACUACGUG